GCCUACGGCCAUACCACCCUGAAAGCGCCCGAUCUCAUCUGAUCUCGGAAGCUAAGCAGGGACGGGCUUGGUUAGUACCUGGAUGGGAGACCGCCUGGGAAUACCAGGUGUUGUAGGCU
rnacentral:rRNA from 1 species